ACCUCUUGAUUCUGCCAGAAGCAUAUGCUUGUAUCAAUAAUCAAGCCAUGAACGUUUAAGUACACAUGGCUGGUACAGUGAAACUGCGAAAGGCUCCUUAAAUCAGUAAUGGUUCCUUUGUUCCAUCUGUCACUUGGAUAACUGAGGUAAUUCCAGAGGCAAUACAUGCCGAUGGGCACUAGCCUCUUGGGAUGCAUGCAUCAAUCAGAUCAAGAUCAAUCUGGGCCUACUUGGCUGCUAUGCUGAUUGUAGAGAACCUGGGGGGUGAUUGCACAUCGACAAUACAGUUGCAUGUCUGCCCUAUACACUUUCAAAUGCAGUGUAUGUCCCUAUCAUGGUGACCACGGGUAAUGGUUAGUCACUGUUCAAUUUGGAGACAGAGCCUGAAAAACAGCUACCACAUCCAAGGAAGGCAGCAGGUGCAGAAAUUACUCGGUCCUGACUCGGGGAGAUAGUGACGAAAAAUAACAAUACAGGACUCUUACGAGGCCUAGUCAUUGGAAUUAGUGCACUUUAAAUCCUUUAAAAAGGAUCCAUCGGAAGGGCAAGUCUGGUGCCAUAAUCAGCCAUAAUUCCAGCUCCAAUAGCGUAUCUGAAAGUUGCUGCAGUUCAAAAGGCACAUAGUUGGAUCUUGGGAUUGAGCUGGCAGUCUGCUGUGAAACGAGCUACUGCCUGUCCCAGCCCUUGCCUCUCUGCACCCCAUUGAUGCUCUUGACUGAGUGUCCUGGGGGACCGAAGUGUUUACUUUGACAAAAUCAGAGUGUUCAAAGCAGGCCAGUUGCCUGAAUAUCUCAGCCAGGAAUAAUGGAAUAGGACUCAGCUUCUAUUGUGUUGGUUUAAUGAAACUGGGGCCAUGAUGAAGAGGGAUAGCCGGGUUCCUUCGAAUUGUGCGGCUAGAGUUGUAAUUCUUGGAAUAGUGCAAGAUGAACCAAAGGGGAAGCAUUUGCAAAGAAUGUGUUCAUAAAUCCAGAACGAAAGUUGGAGGUUUGAAAAAGAUCAGAUACCAUCAUAAGUCCGACCAUAAAUGAUGCUGACUAGCUAUCUGGGAGUGUAAUUCCAUUACCUGCUGAACGGCUGCUGGGAAACUAUUUUCUUUCGGUUCCAGGGAGAGUAUGGAUGCAAAGCUGAAACUUAAAGGAAUUGAUGGAAGGGCACCACCAGGAGUGGAGUCUGUAGCUUAAAUUGACUCACCACUGGAAACCUCACCCGGCCCGAACACGGAAAGCUCUGUCACCAUUCUGUGGGUGGUGGUGCAUGGAUGUUCACAGUUGAAGGAGCGAUUUAUCUGGUUAAUUCUGAUAAUGAAUGAAACACAUCCAUGCCAACUAGUUACGCAUCCCCAGUGGUCUGUGUUUAACUGCUCAGAGGGAAAAGUGGCAUUCAGUCAACCGGCGAUCAAGCAAUAACAGGAAUUUGAUGUCUGUAGAUGUCUGGGGAUGCAUGUGUCCACAAUAAAUGGAUCACUGUGUGUUUACCCAUCACCACACAUGAAGGUAACCAGCUCAAUCCUGUUCAUGAUAGGAAUUUGGGAUUGCGAGCUAUUCACAUGUACAAAGAAUUCCCAGCAAGUGCUAUCAUAAUGUUGCGUUGAUUAAGUUCAUGCUCUCUGUACACACUGCCUGUCACCACUACUGAUUAGAUGGUUCUGUGAGGUCAUCAGAUUGGCUCCGCCGGGUCCGGCAGCAUCGCUGAUGGGGUGCCAACAAGAUGAGCAAACACGACUAUCUAGAGGGAGUGAAAGUCGUAACAAGGUUUCUGUAAGUGAACCUGCAGCAG
rnacentral:rRNA from 1 species